rnacentral:rRNA from 1 species
UACGGGGGGAGCAAGCGUUGUUCGGAUUUACUGGGCGUAAAGGGCGCGUAGGCGGUCAGCACAAGUCAGUUGUGAAAUCUCCGGGCUUAACUCGGAAAGGUCAACUGAUACUGUGCGACUAGAGUGCAGAAGGGGCAACUGGAAUUCUCGGUGUAGCGGUGAAAUGCGUAGAUAUCGGAAGGAACGCCGGUGGCGAAAGCGAACGUGCUGGAUCUCUUCUGACGCUGAGGCGCGAAAGCCAGGGGAGCAAACGGG